rnacentral:rRNA from 1 species
GAGUUUGAUCGUGGCUCAGAUUGAACGCUGGCGGCAUGCUUUACACAUGCAAGUCGAACGGCAGCACGGGUGCUUGCACCUGGUGGCGAGUGGCGGACGGGUGAGUAAUACAUCGGAACGUGUCCUAAAGUGGGGGAUAACGCAUCGAAAGAUGUGCUAAUACCGCAUAAUCUCUGAGGAGAAAAGUAGGGGAUCGAAAGACCUUAUGCUUCUGGAGCGGCCGAUGUCUGAUUAGCUAGUUGGUGAGGUAAAAGGCUCACCAAGGCAACGAUCAGUAGUUGGUCUGAGAGGACGACCACGCCACACUGGGACUGAGACACGGCCCAGACUCCUACGGGAGGCAGCAGUGGGGAAUUUUGGACAAUGGGCGAAAGCCUGAUCCAGCAAU